UACGAAGGGGGCUAGCGUUGCUCGGAAUUACUGGGCGUAAAGGGCUCGUAGGUGGCCAACUAAGUCAGACGUGAAAUCCCUCGGCUUAACCGGGGAACUGCGUCUGAUACUGGAUGGCUAGAGAUUGGGAGAGGGAUGCGGAAUUCCAGGUGUAGCGGUGAAAUGCGUAGAUAUCUGGAGGAACACCGGUGGCGAAGGCGGCAUCCUGGACCAACACUGACGCUGAGGAGCGAAAGCCAGGGGAGCAAACGGG
rnacentral:rRNA from 1 species